rnacentral:rRNA from 1 species
AUUGAACGCUGGCGGCAGGCCUAACACAUGCAAGUCGAACGAGUCGCGGACGGGUGAGUAAUGUCUGGGAAACUGCCUGAUGGAGGGGGAUAACUACUGGAAACGGUAGCUAAUACCGCAUACCAUCAGAUGUGCCCAGAUGGGUUUAGUUAGUUUGUGGGGUAACGGCUCACCAAGGCAACGAUCCCUAGCUGGUCUGAGAGGAUGACGAGCCACACUGGAAUUGAGACACGGUCAAGAGUCAAACGGGAGGCAGCAGUGGGGAAUAUUGUACAAUGUGCGCAAGGCUGAUGCAGCCAUGCCGAGUGUAUGAAGAAGUCCUUCGGGUUGUAAAGUACUUUGAGCGGGGAGGCGUUACCCGCAGAAGAAGCACCGGCUAACUCCGUGCCAGCAGCCGCGGUAAUAC